GCCCCAGGAGCGGGCCGGGCGGUGGGCGCGCGGGGCAGAGGCAGAGGCGGCCCCGGGAGUCGGGGGCGUCUCAACAGAGAGAGAAAGGCCCUCAACGCCUCCUUCUCGCCCGCCUCCCGCGCGACUCCGGCGCACGCACGCACCACGCAUGCGCACCAUGGAGCCGGCCCCCCCGCCCCCCUGCAGACCACACGCACACGUGCGGGCACACAGAUGCACACGCGCGCACACACGGGCUGCAGUGCGGACCAGGCUCCUCUCAGCAGGCAGCAUAUGGUCAGCCGCUUAACAGCCCCGUUCUGCCAAUUGGGGACCAUUAGGGUGGGUUCUUUUCCCAGCGUAAAAGGCUGCAGAAUAUAAAUUGCAAUUAACACCGGUGCCAAAAUAGCACUUAGCGAGAAUAAGCACAUUAUUAACAUCUGGUGAGUCCUGUCUCGGGCGUAGAAGCAGCGGAAGUUCUUGUUCUAAGUAAAGGAUGGUUGGGGGGGCACUAAAAAUACUAAGCCUACUGUUCGGGGGCUGCUUUCCAAGGCCGCUGGUACCUCAGCCUCUCGUGCACUGCCCCUCCUUCCCUGUUCGUGGCAUAAAUGAUGCUGCUGGUUAAAAGUGCUUACUCGUGAGAAAAGGCCCUUCAGGCAACGCCUGUGGAUAAACUCCUAGUGGAAAGAUCCCUCUGGGGCCUGAGCCCACGCUGCCCUGGAGGACAGGAGGAAUGUCCCCAAGCAGGGCCCAGAGGUCCCAGAGGUGGCCUGGGCUGCGCUGUCCUGCAGGUCAGGCUGUGGCUGGCCACACCCUGGUGUUGAGGGUAAAGGGCAGUCAGCCACCACGCUGCCCCCUUCCGGGUCCCCCUCCUGGGGUCUCAAGGUACCACUGGAACGGAGUACCCAGGAACUGGGGGGGGGGGGGCACGACAUCUCAGACCUCAUCCACAGCUGUGUAGCCCUAACAGGGCCUUGGCCCUGCUCCUCAGGUCAGGUCAGGACCAGGAAGGUUGAGGUCAGGCUGUAGCUCUGGUGCAGGGGAUUCACCAGGAGGGGCUGGCAGACAGCUCUUCCAGCUGGGAGGCCAAAAGUUGAAGCCACAGCCCAGCGGGUAAGGAGGGUACCCUACGCUCCAGGCAGGAGCCAGCUGCAGCCACAGCAAGAAAAGCAGGGUGCGGGAGGAGGCCCUGUCUGCCCAGUGAGGGCAGCUGGGAUGGAAGGAGGCUGCCGGACAGACGGCACUCAUGGAGAACCAAGCAGGGCACUCGGGCUGGCGAGUCCCGGGACCCAGGCCCUAGGAGCACUUGGCUCCCGCAGCCGAGCCCGAAGGCCUCCCAGACCCCUGAGCCUGGUGUGGUGGGGCUGCUGGGCUGUCUGCCUCCUGAGAAGCCAGGGAAGGGCAGGCGAAUGAAGGCCCUGGGACCGGGUCUUUAAAGGGCCAACUGCGGGCCAGGCUACAGGGGACAGAGGAGGAAGACAGGGGGCAGCCC
rnacentral:lncRNA from 1 species